rnacentral:rRNA from 1 species
AUUGAACGCUGGCGGCAGGCUUAACACAUGCAAGUCGAACGAGCGGCGGACGGGUGAGUAAUGUAUGGGGAUCUGCCUGAUGGAGGGGGAUAACUACUGGAAACGGUAGCUAAUACCGCAUACCAUCAGAUGAACCCAUAUGGGAUUAGCUUGUAGGUGAGGUAACGGCUCCCCUAGGCGACGAUCCCUAGCUGGUCUGAGAGGAUGAUCAGCCACACUGGGAAUGAGACACGGCCCAACUGCCUACGGGAGGCAGCAGUGGGGAAUAUUGCACAAUGGGCGCAAGCCUGAUGCAGCCAUGCCGCGUGUAUGAAGAAGGCCUUCGGGUUGUAAAGUACUUUCAGUCGGGAGGCGUUACCGACAGAAGAAGCACCGGCUAACUCCGUGCCAGCCGCCGCGGUAAUAC